UCGCGUUCAAUGCGGAACAUAGGAAUGCCCAAGGUGCUGUGUGGCAUGAGUUCUGGAAACGUUACAAGUUGCCUGAAGAUGGAAGUAUGAACGAUCGUGCACGGAUCGUUUUUAACAAGAGCGCGACUACCUUGGUUAGGGAUCAGAUGUAUUAUGCUCGGAUCCAGGUCACUUCUGAUUACAUAUUAAGGCAGGAAGGACGUCGACCACGUUCCAAAAGUGAGGCAUCAAACAAAUACUUAACCGAAGAAGAAUAUCUUGAGUUUUCAGACUCGGUGCCAUGGAUGGCAUCAAAUGAGGCUGGUUGGCGGGCUGUAUGCAAAUAUUGGGCAACAGAUGGAUUUAAAGGUGUUUCAAUGAGAAACAACUCAAAUCGUGGGCA